rnacentral:rRNA from 1 species
CAUUUAAUAGAUUAUUCCAGGAGGAGUAUGGGUAUGUUGGAUUAGCUUGUAGUAUAUGAUAAAAUUCUUGUAUGAGGAGCAAGCGAAGCUGGAGCUUUAGGUUCUUCUCUGUUGGUUUUUAAGUGUUGCAUACUGUUGGGGGAUUUUUUUUAUGUUGAUGAUUAAUAGAAGUAGAAGGUGGAGAGAUAUUUGUUUUUGGUAUUGUAUACUAGGAAUUAUUGUUUUUUGUUUUGAUAUAACGUUUUCUAUGGUAUCUGUGUGUUGUUGGUGUUGUAGAAAAUUUUUGUUUUUGUGAUUGUGUGUGGAGUGAUAGGAUUUGUAGUUUUUGGUUUUUUAGUGUUAUGACUUUUUCUUAAGGUUGAGUUAGUUGGUUGGUGUUGAUAUUAAUUUUUUAAUAUUUUUAUAGUUUCUGAUUUAGUAGGUUUGUUGAAAUUUUGUUGGGGGUUUAGAAUUUAAUUUGAAUAAUUUGGUUUAUGAUCAAAUGUUUGUUAAAGACUUAGGUAUCCAUUUGGUACUGUCCUCUGCUCUAUGAGUAUUAAAUGGCCGCCUUAACGUGAGGGCAUAAAAGUAGCAAAAUAAUUUGUGUUUUUAAUGGAUUCGAGUAUGAAAGGGGGUUUGGUUGUUUUUGUUUUUUUUUUGUUUAGAAUUAUUGUUAUGUUUAAAAAUUAAUAUUUGGUAUUAAACAAAGAUAAGUCUUCGGAAAUUCUUUUAGUUAUUUAAUGGGGGUUGGAUAUCUAUGUUUUUUAGGGCAGAAUUUUGUAUAAGUUUUUUUACUAUUGUUAAUUUAUAGAGUUACUCCGGAGUUAACAGAAAAUCACAUUUCUUCUAGGUGUUAUAGAUAGAAAGAUUUUACAUCGAUAUAAUAUU